CCCCCACACCCCACCGGCGGCAAGAACUGAACAGAUUCGUGGAUAUCCUCCCGAUCCUACUCCUCCUCCUCCUGGGCAACGCGCUAUCGAAGGCACAAGAAGACGAAGUCGUCGACGGCGACGACACGAUCGAAUCGAAUUCGAAGCAAGCAACCGGAGGAGGAGGAGGAGGAUCGGAGCAGCAGCUGAGCAGACACAGCCGACGAGGAGGGGAUGGGGCAGUGCGCGUGCUUCGGCGGCGGCGGGGCGGAGCGGGAGCGGCGGGCGGAGGCCGAGCUCGCCGAGUCGAAGGAGGCGCGCGCCAAGGCCGCCGAGGCCGCGCAGCGGAGACAGGAGGAGUUUGAUAGAUCAGCCGCUGGAAGAGCAGCAAAAGCACAGAUGAAAGCUAUGAAGGAAGCUAAGACAUCAUCAAACCAAGGAGAACCAGUUCUUAAGUGGCAGAUGGGAUCGUAAAUUCUUCGUUGGUGUUGACCCUGCAUCCUUGGCAUUUAGUGAAAAGGACUGUUGCAAAUUGCAACUUUAGUUUGUGUUCUGGGAACUGGUCUAGAAAGGGGGUCUACUAGGCCACAUACAAGGAACAAGUUUCCCUGAGUAUUCCUGCAAAAUUGCCAGUUAUUGCAUACACUAAGAAAAGGCUGAUAAUGGUAGACAAGAGCUUGACAGCUCUUGAUUUCAGGGAGGAUUCAGCUGAGUCAUUUUCUGAUGUGUAGUUUUGUGGAAGUGUGAAUUCCCUUGUCAUGUGCUGCACACACGUUAUUCAGAUAUAUUUGUCCAGCUUGUGUGUUUGUUGGAACAGAUCAUGUACAUUUCUGUAGUAGUUUUAUAUAGUAUUUUUUUCUCUCCUUUUGGUACAAUCGCUUGGGAUUUCGGAGCUUGAUUUAUUUUCUCCCCCCAUGCAAACCAUCAGUUCAUAGAGAAGUAGAAGAAUAGCAACACUACUGGUACUGAAUUCUACAGAAAUUUGUCAAAUCAUAUCUUGUAUAAAGCACCUCCUGCAGAUUCAUGCAGACAUUGGUGAAGCUAUAAGCCUAUAAGUCUCUGUAAAAUAGUUUCAGUUUCUUUUCUGCACAA